CCUACGGGGAGCUGCAGUGGGGAAUAUUGGACAAUGGGCGAAAGCCUGAUCCGGCCAUGCCGCGUGUGUGAAGAAGGCCUUCGGGUUGUAAAGCACUUUCAGUGGGGAAGAAAGCCUUGGGGCUAAUACCCUCGAGGAAGGACAUCACCCACAGAAGAAGCACCGGCUAACUCCGUGCCAGCAGCCGCGGUAAUACGGAGGGUGCGAGCGUUAAUCGGAAUUACUGGGCGUAAAGCGCGCGUAGGCGGUCUGAUAAGCCGGUUGUGAAAGCCCCGGGCUCAACCUGGGAACGGCAUCCGGAACUGUCAGGCUAGAGUGCAGGAGAGGAAGGUAGAAUUCCCGGUGUAGCGGUGAAAUGCGUAGAGAUCGGGAGGAAUACCAGUGGCGAAGGCGGCCUUCUGGACUGACACUGACGCUGAGGUGCGAAAGCGUGGGUAGCAAACAGGAUUAGAUACCCCGGUAGU
rnacentral:rRNA from 1 species